CUUGAAUGUGUUUUAUGUUAACAUAGUUCAUUUUGACUCACUCAUAACCUGCGCCAAAAGCUCGUCUUAUUCAAGGGAUCUGAAAGGGAUAUCUUAAAGUUGGUGCCAUUUGAAACCUUGUCGAAGUAAAAAGUGUGCAUUUUCCUGCUGGAUGGUUACGAAAUUCAAAUGGAACAUAAGAUAGUGUUUGUCUUCCUGGCUUGUUAUACAUCCUCGGGAUGUGCGGUAACGAUGGAGCUUUCUUCUAAAGUAAUCCUGGGUGGAGAUGUUCGACUGACAUGUUAUGCCAACGACACAAUUCAAUUUUAUUUUACUGAUAGUAACACUAUUACAACUGAACUCGGUGAGUGUACAUUUGACCCAAAUGAGUGCUACAAAGCACACGGACUAACGACAGUGAAUAUUAAAAUUACUCAUAUAUUCAAUGGUGGGGAGUUGACAAUUUUAAAGAUAACCAGGGCAAACUUUGGCGUUUACAUGUGCGCGGAUUUUUUUAAUCCUUCAUUGCAACAAAGCGUCCCAAUUACUGGCGAAACCAGCAAUGACAACGUGUUUUCCUCAUGUAAAUCCGCAUGUAAAUCAGCGAUAUUAAUAUACUGUUUGCUGUUUACGUUUGUGAGAUUAACAGGGUGAAAAUUAGUGCAAAUCGUGAACGACGGCGUCUAUACAUGUUUCGACUUUCGAUUGCAAAUAUAUUUUUGUUGUGGUUUUUAUCGCUUGUGGUUUUGCUUUGUAUUCUUGAUGUUAUCUUACAAGGGUUAACCUAUUUAUGCCUAGCGCCUAGAAAAAAGGCCUUGGCACACAGCGUAGACCCAGAUGAGACGCCGCAUGAUGCGGCGUCUCAUCAGGGUCUGCGCUGUAUGCUUAAGGCGAUUUCUGUAAGAAAUAUUCUAAAUAUAGAAAUGAAUUUACUAGACAUACCUAAUUUUGGAAAUAAAUUGAUCCAAUUUAGAAGGAUGGGACAGUCCACUAGGCAUUAAUGGGUUAAGAAUAAAACCUGAGCUACAUUUACCACCAAUCAAUGUCUGUACUGUGUAACGUGUAUAUUUAUUGUGUGAUAUAGGGUAGAUGUUACAUGCAUUCUAUAAAAUUUCGUUCGUGCUAGCCAGAGAACGAUCUCUUUAUCACAGUUGGUAUUAAUCGUCCACAUGUAAAAUACAUGAAUUAUUCAACAUCAUGAUUUAACGCAUUAUGUACGCCAGCUAACACGUUCUUCCAUCUAUCCAAAAAUGCAAACUCUUACAGUCUCCGGUCCAUUCAUGAAAUGCAUGAGUAAGUAUUAACUCAUCUACUCUACAUUUGUUAAGGUAGGAACAACAAUCGGUCCUUAUAUUAAAGGUAACCGAGUCAAUAUGCGAUGCGUCUAUUUAGAUACCAAUUGUGUGAAAUGUAAAAACCUUGUCUUAAUACUUACAAAAUGCAUUCCUGUUUGAAAAUAGCAAAUGUGUGUCCGAUUUUCAAAAAAGGUGAUACAGCCUAAACGUCUUAUAAGCGACCUAUAUUAUUGUUAAAUACUAUUGAGAAAGUCUAACAUAUCAUAAUCAAUAAGAACAAUUUUAUUUGUAUUUAAUACUUUUCGUGCAAAGUAAUUCUUUUCUACAACUCAGUCUGACUUAUUGCUUGGUGAUUUUGUUGUAAAUCAACAAGAAAACACUUAUUAUACGUAUUGUAAUGCCGGUCCGUCUGGUGGCCGUCAGACGGUGACAACAUCACAAAUUAUCCUACUGAGUAAAGUAAAAUAAAAGACUGCAUAACUUAUCGUUUUAUUUACAUAAAAAUCAUUUCUC